GUGGUUUGCUGCAGCACAUAUACUAAAAUUGGAACGAUACAGAGAAGAUUAGUAUGGCCCCUGCACAAACAUCAUUUUUUAUCCAAGAACUUCUCUAU
ensembl:snRNA Rnu6-894 RNA, U6 small nuclear 894